AUAUCAAUAAGCGGAGGAAAAGAAACCAACAGGGAUUGCCCUAGUAACGGCGAGUGAAGCGGCAACAGCUCAAAUUUGAAAUCUGGCUUCGGCCCGAGUUGUAAUUUGUAGAGGAUGCUUUUGGCGCGGUGCCUUCUGAGUUCCCUGGAACGGGACGCCAUAGAGGGUGAGAGCCCCGUAUAGUUGGACACCAAGCCUUUGUAAAGCUCCUUCGACGAGUCGAGUAGUUUGGGAAUGCUGCUCAAAAUGGGAGGUAAAUUUCUUCUAAAGCUAAAUACCGGCCAGAGACCGAUAGCGCACAAGUAGAGUGAUCGAAAGAUGAAAAGCACUUUGAAAAGAGGGUUAAAUAGCACGUGAAAUUGUUAAAAGGGAAGCGCUUAUGACCAGACUUGUUCCAGGUUGAUCAUCCAGUGUUCUCACUGGUGCACUCUGCCUGGAUCAGGCCAGCGUCGAUUUUCGUAGGGGGAUAAAGGCAUUGGGAAUGUAGCUCCUCCGGGAGUGUUAUAGCCCUUUGUAUAAUACCCUUGUGGGGAUCGAGGUACGCGCUCUGCAAGAUCG
rnacentral:rRNA from 1 species